rnacentral:lncRNA from 1 species
UUUUUGUUUGGUAAAAAAAAAAAAAAAAUUAAUUGCAUGCAAGUCCCGCAAAGAUAGUGAAUUGCAAAUCUGUAAAGUUUAAUUUUUGUAAGUAAUUUCUGUAAAAGUCCUAAUAUUUUCAUAUAUGUCCCUUUGGUUUGUUAAUCAUUAGAAAAUUGUUUAUAUUUCCAGCUUUGCCAUCACAAAUAUGUUUCUCUAAAAAUUAUAACAGUAUAAUAUAAGAGGGGUAAAAAUGUCAAAAAUUAAUCCGAGUAAAGUAUUUAACCUAUGGUUAACUAAACUUUUCUAACGGGUUCUAACAGUAGCGAUAUAUCUGAAAAUAUUAGAAUUUUUAUAAGAAUAACUUAUGAAGGUUGAACUUUACAAGGAUAUAUCAGCAAUUUACUAUGUUUGCAGGAACCUGUAUGCAAUUGACCUUCUAAUUAAUUGUCGCCCCCCUAAGUGAUAAAUAACCUGAAAUGAUUUGAUAAUUAAAUCUCAUUAGUAUUUUAAACUUUAUCAAAUAGGUUGAUUUAUUGCCCUUCUCUUCUCAGACAAAGUUAUUUAAAAAAAAAUACUAAUAACUCGUUGGAUUUAAACUUAAGUAUUUAAAAAUUUAUCAAAUAUCAAAUAGGUUAACAUGGUUUCCUCCUCUUCUUAAGCAAAGUUACUAACUUUCUUAUUUUAAUUGCUUAUGUUACAUAUAUUUUUGUAUAACAUCCAGAAUACAAAAAAGAAAAAACAGAAAUAAUUUGUUGGGCCUAAAUGAUUGGCCCAACAUAAUUCAACUUAAUUAUUUUCUAUUGGGUAUCCUUACAAAUACAUAAUUUGACAGUUUUUGAAUGCUUACGUGGCAAAUUUUUGUGCUUCCACAUCUUGCACCAACGGAAAGGAUCCAAAUGGCUCCUUGGCUCCUUCCCAAUGUUUGACCAGGUCAACUCUUGGCAACUUUCCAAGAUUGAAACAGACCUCCUUCCCAAGAUGCUCUUUAGCUCCUUUUCAGGAUUUUACCUCCUUCCCAAGGUGGUCUUUGGCUCCUUCCCAAUGUUUCACCAAGUUACCAAGAUAUUGGAGGUUUUCCAAGACAGCUUUGAGCUCUUUCCCAAGUCACAGGGCACCUUUCCAAUAAGNUUUCUCUAAGGUGGCCUCAUUCUCUCUCUCCUUCCUCCUCCAUCAAACCUGUCCCCAUUCUCUCUCUUUCUUACUCCAGCUGCCCCCCCCCCACUCUCUCUCCCUCCCCUACUCUCUCUCUCUUUCUCUCUCUCUCUCUCUCUUAUCUCCUUCUUCUAUUUCUCUCUCUCUCUCAUCGAAAACCUUUUCAUGCAGGUUCAGCCGGCCUUCCGCGGCGACGCCGGUGGCGGCUUAGGCGGCAACGGCAGCGGUGGCUUAGGCGGCGACGGCAGCGGUGGCUUAGGUGGCGACGGCAGCGACGGUGGCGGCUUAGGCGGCAACGGCAGCGGCGGCUUAGGCGGCGACGGCAGCGGCGGUGGCGGCUUAGACGACGGCGAUGGUGGCGGCUUAGGCGACGACGAUGGUGGCGGCGCGGCGACAGCGACGGCGACGACAGCAGCGGUGUCGGCUUAGUUAUACAUAGUUUUCCAGACACUUCCUCUCACACGCGCGCACUCACACACUCUGUCUCUCUCUCUCUAACCCGCUUUUUCUUCUUCUCCUCGAUUUCCUGCGCCCUCGGCUAAUUUGAUGU